ACGGAGGAUCCGAGCGUUAUCCGGAUUUACUGGGUUUAAAGGGUGCGUAGGCGGGCCCCUCAGUCAGCGGUGAAAGUCUGGGGCUCAACCGCAGGAAUGCCGUUGAUACUGGGGGCCUUGGAUUCGGUCGAGGCGGGCGGAAUUCGUGGUGUAGCGGUGAAAUGCGUAGAUAUCACGAGGAACGCCGAUGGCGAAGGCAGCUCGCCGGGCCGAUAUCGACGCUGAGGCGCGAAAGCGUGGGGAUCGAACAG
rnacentral:rRNA from 1 species